CCAGAAGCUCAAUAUGGCUAGAAAAGUCGGAAAGGAGGGAGAGACAGUAAGAAGGGAGUGUGAUUAUCUAAUGAGGAAUGAGAAGUCAUUGAAAGUUUGAAGCAGAGAAAUGACAUGAUCAGGGCUGUGUUCUUCCUUGAAUGUUCUCCUCUACCUCCUCCUUCCUUUCCUAUUCUCUCUUCCCUUCUCCUUCUACCUAGUCUUUCUCCUUCUCCUCUUUAUUCUUCAUUUAUGUUAUAUAAUUCCCUAGGAAAGAGAAAGAAAGAAAACUGGACUUUCUAUCACCAGAACCCUUGGACAUUCAGUCAGCCGCAGCCUUGACUGGUUGGCUCCUUACACUGUCGGAAGCUAAAGUCCUGCCCAGAAUCCAGGACCCUUCCUAGGGACUCACCUCACCAGGGGCAGUUCUGGAAGCAUCAAGUUCCAGGGGCAAAACCAGAACUUGAUUGCAUGACUGGCAGCUGGGUCCCCAGUCAGAGGUUUUGGGAAGGAUGUCAACAGAAAACACGAGGGCAUCUGCCUGCCAGCAUGCAUGUACACGAGCGUGUGGUGACUUGGCGGAAGAAGAACACACUGUCUCCAGAGAAGCCUCUGCCCACUGGUCUUGCCCAAUAUUGUAUCACCAGCACGAGGCAAGCAGUUGACCCCUAAAAUAUAGGAAACUACAUCCUGCCCCAACCAGGACCUGUGGUGACCCAUGUCCUACCCACCCAGCUCAUCACUUCUGGGCAUCUGUGACACCCGUUCAGCUGGUCCACCCUGCUCAGCAGCUUCACUAGUGACCUGUCUGCCCUGUAGGAUUCCCAGGCACCCCAGUUUCUGGUCCUCCUGACCAGGAAGACAAAGAAGCAGAUGGAAAGAACAGAGGAAAGACACAAGUGCUAGAAGUUACAGAGGGAGGAGCCCCCAUGGUUGAUUUUCCAUUUCCCCACCUUCAGCUAGCUUGAGUCCAUUUCUGCUCCUCCCAACCAAAUGACCCACACCACAGAAAGGGAGCUUGGACAUUCCCACUUGAACAAAACCCAAAAUGUAACCCUGAGCCCACCCGAACACCCCUUGCCAGGUCUCACUCUCAAGCCCGUUAUCUGGAGAGUUGCCUUUUUCUUGUAGCCUCACUCACCAUGAAGUUCUUCUUACCCUCCAUCCCCUCAUCCCCAAUUCCCAUGGCCUACUCCAUCCCUUCCUUAGCCCCACCUCCAUCCUGCACCAGUUGCAUUUCCACAACUGCGGUGCUAGGGUCUCUCUUCUCCCCCUAUUCUAUAGAUAACCGCCAUCAUCUAUGUCAAUAAUUUUCUAUUUUUAAAAAUUCUGAAUUAUUUUAUGAAUCCAGAAAGGUGUACAAAACACAGAAGCAUAAUUUAGAAUGGAUGUGGGGGUGGGAUGUGGGGGCUAUAAUUAUCCCCGUUAAGAAACAGCAUACAGAUGCUCCUUGACUUAUGAUCCAGUCAUAUUCCCAGGAAACUCGUCAUAAGUUGAAAAGAUUGUGAAUUGAAAAUACAUUUAAUACCCUUAACUUCUUUUAAAAAAAUGGUUUUAGUUGUACAUGAACAUAAUAUCUUUAUUUUAUUUAGUUAUUUAUUUUUAUGGGGUGCUGAGGAUUAAAUCC